AUGGCAAAGGGAGAGGGACUUAAGUGAGAGUGAAAACACAAGUAACCUACUGUAUGGCAGGUGGAGGGGCAGUGAUGUUACAGGUGGAGGAGCAAAACUGCAAGACUGCAAACUCACAAGACAGAGAAAUCAAAGUUUGUUCUCCAGAGAAGAGGUUGAUUUCACUUCAUUUAUUUCAUAUUUUCUAAAGAUGUGGAAAUGGCAACAAAAAAAAACUUGAGAGCUGCAACCAAGACAACUGUAACAACAUGAGUAGAGAGCCACCAAGGUUUUUCAAGUCCCUCUCUUACUCCAUUUUGCCAACCCAAACUUCCAGGUACAUGACGGGACACCUUGCUUGUUUUUGUUGUUUGCGCUCCUCUGGCUGGGUGCUGGCAGGUGGAGGGCAGUGAUGUUGGCAGGUGGAGGGGCAGUGAUGUUACGGGUGGAGGGGCAUUGAUGUUAGCUGUUACACACCAGGCUCAAACUUAACACAUUGCAUCCUUCUUUGCAGUGUCCUUAUUCCUGGAAGGGGAAUCUGCAAUUCCUGCAGAGUUUUGUAACCCGUUGGUCCGCACGCAAAGCGAAUUUUUAAAGCCUUCUUAAUUGUCUCAUUGCUCCAUUUCAUCCCCUCUGUGAUACAGGUCCCGGGGUGAAUCGUGGUGCAGGGGCCCUUCUCUUUUUGACCACAGGGCGAUGCACGAAGAUGGUGGGUAUAGCCUCUGCUCUCAGCCUAGUCUUGCCCUUUUUUGUCUUGACAAACUGGUCUGCAUCAAAAUGUGCCUGCGGAGUGACUUGAGGUUACUUCACACACAGAACAACUCAGUUUUGUCUGCCCACAUACAUAUUCCAUAGUGGUUGAAUACACAGUAUUAGGAAACACUUUAUACUUACUGGACAUGUUAUACUCAUUACAUACUGUAUAUAAAAUAUGACCAAGAAUGUGAGACAACUUUAUAGAAAUUCAUAUCACAUCUGUUACUGAUGCCAUUUGUCAUACUUUGUUAAACUCACAAAUAAUAAAGUUCCAUAACUUCAGUUGGGAACAAAGACCACACCUUAUCUCCCCAAGGCAAUUUCCCAUCCAAUAGGUGUGCUAUAUAGGUGUGUAUAACCCUUUCUCCUGUCUGUUACUCCCUCUUUCAGCACAAGAACCAGAGGGGGAUUC